rnacentral:lncRNA from 1 species
AAGAUUUACAUUAAGACUAAGAAACCAACCAAACAAUAUCCAAACUACAUAAUAGAGUUAACCAUAAUCCUAGAUUAAUGAGUUUAGCUCAACAUUUCACAAAGAAGAGUACACAAUACAGCAAACAAGAGCAUUGUUUUACAAAAUGAGAUAGAGAGAGAAAGAUUCAAAUCUAGAGAGAGAGAUGUUCUGUUGCAGCUUUACAAGCUCCAGCCCUUGAAUCUUCUUCUCUUUCACGUUUUUGCUUCAGCCUCUUCUUGCCCAAAGUGUCUCCCCCGAAUCUG